GCGCCCGUAGCUCAAUUGGAUAGAGCAUCGGCCUACGGAGCCGAGGGUUAGGGGUUCGAAUCCCUUCGGGCGCGCCA
rnacentral:tRNA from 2 species